rnacentral:lncRNA from 1 species
GGUAGAGUGACAUGUCUGUCACAACCAUCUCUUUGUUCUCGUUUUAUUUUUACUCUCCUUCUGCAGCUCAAUAAAGAGACAAGUUUGGGCAUAUUUUUGUCUACUGAGUAGGGACAGAAAUUAGAUUACUAUGAGAAAGAUACAUUUGGUUGAAGAACUCUAAUGCCUCUAAGCUAAAAAGAAAACCAUGAGGUUAUUGGAGAUGAAGAUGAGAUAAAGACAACAGGAUACCCCAAACCUUGAUCCCUGGAUGGCUGCAAGGAUUUUGAGACCACUUUGAAGCUGUGUACAGAAGACUUUUCCACAGGCAUACACAACACCCUGCCUUCAUACCCUGAAGGAAUGAAAGCUGUUGACAUUACUUGGAAGAAAAUAAAGAACUUGAAUCUGUUUUUGUGCUAUACAGAUUUCUCUGCUUAGAAUAAUUACUGAAUCACUAAUGUGACAGCCAAAGCAUCUGGAAAGCUGUAGAUGCAACAUGGAAUCAAAGCUUUAGGGACUGGAAGAAAAUCAAGGGUUCAUAAAUUCUGUUUUCUCGCCAACAUAAUUGUCCUUGACACAUGUCCUUAUAAUUUUACUUGUGCUUGAAAACCUAUAACAUAAAACUAUCUCAAAAUAUUGGGAGCUCUAUCUGUGGCCUCUGCUAGUUAGAUAAUCAUUAUCUUUUAAAUGUUGAUGGUAAAUAUGUAUUUUUUGUUGUUUAUAUCUUCCUUUCUCCCAUUCUCUUUUCCUUCCUUUCUUCUUUUCCUCCCUUCCUCCCUUCAUUUCUUCUCUCCUAUUAAAUAAGUUAUUAUAUGAAUUAUACCAUAAGUAUAGCAGUGUAUUACAUUCAAAAUACCAAGAUACAAAUUUGGAUUAGUCUGGUGAAGAUUUAAGGCAUAUGUAUAAUUUUACAUGUACUAAUGACUAUAUUCAAAGCUGCUGAUGGUUGGUUUAUAAAGUAAUUUGGCCAAGGCAGAAAAAUACAUAAGCAGUGUGCCAAAUAAGCAAAAGCAGUUGUUUCUAAAGCCAAAGACAUAUAUGAUGAAAAGAAGGCCGAAAAACCAACCAACCAACAAAACUAAAACACAGAAACAGUGGAAACUGCCUAAGAUUAACCACCCAGGAUUCAAAGUGUGUGUGUGUCUGUGCACACGCGCACGCAUAAACAUGCAGGUAUAUGCCUUCACAAAAGUGUCAGUUUGGGAAAAGAGAUUUGGUAUUGAAAGGAAGGCCACCACUCUAGGUCAUUAAAGGUCAUGAAGAAAUUAUCUGACAUGCUUAGACCUCUUUUCUCCUAUGCAAAUAUCCUGGAACUAUAAUUGAAUCACUGAGCACAAGUACUCUAAUGUGCCUAGAAUAUUAACUGUGGCAUAUAAUAAUGGUGAGGAAACUAAUUGGAGUUUCUUCAAAGAUAGGAAAGAAACUGCAGCUGAAUGUUGGGAAAUAUCGUGGUGCAUGUUUUCACUACAAUCUCUCCUGUAGAGACAUUAUUUUGGAAUUGUAUCCAUGACAUAGUAUCAAGUAGAAACAUAUGUCGUAUUACAGAAAAGUAAUCAUGUAAUCAUCUGUAUGUAAGCACAUUUUUGUGAGCAUAGAGAAAAAUAAGAACUAUAAAUAUAGAUUGGUUAGUACUGGUUAUCUCAGGGAGAUGAAGCCAGAGUAGAAUGGUGG